GCUCAGCUCAUACCUCGAUUCAUCUCCCUCAACAAUUCCAGCUCUAGGAAGUUACCCUAAGAGAAGAAACGAGAGGAUGAAUUCAAGGAAUACCACCAAAACUUUGUUUUAUAAUACUGAACAUCAGAAGCAAUCUAAAUAACUGACAGCAGGGAAGCAGAGAUGCCCUGAGGCAAAAAGCAAGAACUACUCUAUGCAGCUAACAGGAGGGACUGUCUGAUUGCCCAUGCACAAAGCCAAUUACCACAGCAAUGACAAAGUAAGAGCUCAGGUCUACCAGAGCCCCAGAAGGAUGUCUGAAAAGUGGCCGCCAUCUUUCCCACAAGUACCUCCUGUCUCAUUCACCCUCCUCAGGCCAGUCACUAGACCACCAAGGUGCAAGGACUUCUUUACCUCUGGGUCAAGGUAAGUCUUAGAAAAGUAGAGAGGGCGAGAGACAAGAGCAGAUGUUAUUAAUUUGUUUGUUCUCAGGUACAAGAAGGUGGAUCAAGUUCCUACUGCUGCAGUGACAUGUUAAGGGGUUUAAAAUAACACACAAUUAUUCUCUUACAGCUCUAGAGGCCAGAAGUCCAAAAGCAGUUUCACCAUGCUGAAACCAAGGUGUUGGCAGGAUCACACUUCCUCCAGAAGAGAUUCCUGAAGCAAGUUUCCUGCUUGCUCCAGCUUCUAGAACUAUGUUCCUAGGCUUGUCCUGUCUCCGCCUUCCUGCCUCCACCUUCCAAGCCAGCAGUGUAGUAUUUUACUCCAGUCACUGCCUACCUUCUAUCCCUGGGUUCAGGUCCCCCUCUGCCUCUCUUUUAUAAGGAUACUCAUGGUUACCUAAGGCACACCUGGAUAACCCAGGAUCCCCCUCCUCCUCAAGAGCCUUAAUUUAGACACAUCUGCAAAAGAUUUUUCUUUUUUUUUUUUCCAUCUAAGGUAACACUCACAGGUUCCAGGGAUUAGGAUCUGGAUAUCUUUGGGGGCCAUUAUUCAGCCUACUGCACAAAGCCUUCAGUGAUCACAGAUUCAAAUGCCUACAGAUAACUCCAGGAAACAAAAAUGAGACACAUAAGCCAGGUGUAUACUGUCCCGAGCUGCAGUGUGGAUGCCCAUCUAGACAAUACUCUGCUCCACCCACCUGUUGGAUCUUAAUCCAGAUCAUCUGAAAAUAAAUAUCUUGAUUUUUUAAUUAUUAGCA
rnacentral:lncRNA from 1 species